GGUGCAUGCUUGGGUGCCCAAAAAUUCCAGUGAGUGUAUGCUACAGGAGUGAGGUGGACCAAUAAUAUAUGAGUACUUAAUAUAACAAGUGCUUACUAGAUUUUAUUUUACACAAUUCGUGAUAUGACCCCAGCUGAAUUAUAGCUUACUAAAUUUGCCCUCAACCUUUUUAAUAAUUAUGUAUGUAUGUUUUACCACAGUUAAUCGAACUUUUUACCAUGUAUUGAGAUUAGGGUGGCUGAAUCAAAUUCCUGGGGUUGUGUUCGUUCUUCCUUCAUUCCUUGUGUUUGCCGUUCAGCCGUUUCUGUCCUUGUCUCCGUCGUUUAGCGUCGUGUUCCCUCUCCUUCCAUAUCUGGUCCACCCUCAGAUGGGCCUCCAUCUCUACGGAAUAUCAGAAGGGCACGCACCAUCGUGAGGGAAGAGAUUGAAUAUUAAUCUGUUCUCGUGAAGUUUGAUCAGGAGUUGCAGCGUGAGGUUGAGAUUUAUCGGGUCAGGUUCGACAUCUACAUGGUGUUCUCCAUUAGUUUGCUCAACCUUCUCCUGGAAUUGAUCCAUCAAAGGAGGAAGUUAGGCUUUUUGAAUCACAAGUUAUUCAUAAUAAAGGGUCUGAGUAAACAGUUUCAUCAUGUAUUGGAGAUUAGUCUCAUCAUGUAUUGGAGAUUGAUUAUGUAUGAUUGUGUAUUGAAUUGGCAAUAGCUUCAGAUGGACUUAGGAAAUUGAUUAUACCUUACACCCAAUUGAUUUGUUAAGAGUUGAUUUCUUCUCCUUAGGAAAGUGCAUGUGAUGUCACAUAUGGUUCAUACAGAUGAUUUCAACCUGGAUAAGGUUUCUCUUCAAUUUGAAAGCCUUCAUCAUUGAGUUC